GAUGAACGCUGGCGGCGUGCCUAAUACUUGCAAGUCGAGCGAAUGACGAGGAGCUUGCUCCUCUGAUUUAGCGGCGGACGGGUGAGUAACACGUGGGUAACCUGCCUGUAAGACGGGGAUAACUCCGGGAAACCGGAGCUAAUACCGGAUGAUAACGAGAAGCGCCUGCUUCUUUUUUGAAAGUCGGUUUCGGCUGACGCUUACAGAUGGGCCCGCGGCGCAUUAGCUAGUUGGUGAGGUAACGGCUCACCAAGGCGACGAUGCGUAGCCGACCUGAGAGGGUGAUCGGCCAACCUGGGACUGAGACACGGCCCAGACUCCUACGGGAGGCAGCAGUAGGGAAUCUUCGGCAAUGGACGAAAGUCUGACCGAGCAACGCCGCGUGAGCGAUGAAGGCCUUCGGGUCGUAAAGCUCUGUUGUCAGAGAAGAACAAGUACCGGAGUAACUGCCGGUACCUUGACGGUACCUGACCAGAAAGCCACGGCUAACUACGUGCCAGCCGCCGCCGUAAAAC
rnacentral:rRNA from 1 species